GAUCCUGGCUCAGGAUGAACGCUGGCGGCAUGCCUAACACAUGCAAGUCGAGCGGCAGCGCAGUCUUCGGACGGGCGGCGAGCGGCGGACGGCUGAGUAACGCGUGGGAAUCUACCCCAAAGUGAGGGAUAACGCACCGAAAGGUGUGCUAAUACCGCAUACGGUCUUCGGAUUAAAGUUUUAACGCUCUGGGAAGAGCCCGCGUACUAUUAGAUAGUUGGUGAGGUAAAGGCUCGCCAAGUCGACGA
rnacentral:rRNA from 1 species